AACUUUCGACAAUGGAUCACUUGGCUCUCGCAUCGAUGAAGAACGCAGCGAAAUGCGAUACGUAAUGUGAAUUGCAGAAUUCAGAGAAUCAUCGAAUCUUUGAACGCACCUUGCGCCCCUUGGUAUUCCGAGGGGCACACCCGUUUGAGUGUCGUGAAUACUCUCAACCUUCUUGGUUUCUUUGACCACGAAGGCUUGGACUUUGGAGGUUUUUCUUGCUGGCCUCUUUAGAAGCCAGCUCCUCCUAAAUGAAUGGGUGGGGUCCGCUUUGCUGAUCCUCGACGUGAUAAGCAUUUCUUCUACGUCUCAGUGUCAGCUCGGAACCCGCUUUCCAACCGUCUUUGGACAAAGACAAUGUUCGAGUUGCGACUCGACCUUACAAACCUUGACCUCAAAUCGGGUGAGACUACCCGCUGAACUUAAGCAUAUCAAUAAGCGGAGGCU
rnacentral:misc_RNA from 1 species